rnacentral:rRNA from 1 species
GAUGAACGCUAGCGGCAGGCCUAAUACAUGCAAGUCGAACGGUGUCUUCGGACAUAGUGGCGCACGGGUGCGUAACACGUAUGCAACCUACCUUACAUUGGGGGAUAGCCUUUCGAAAGGGAGAUUAAUACCGCAUAAGACAGUAGCUGGGCAUCCAGCAGCUGUUAAAGAUUUAUCGAUGUAAGCUGGGCAUGCGUCCAAUUAGCUAGUUGGUGAGGUAACGGCUCACCAAGGCAAUGAUUGGUAGGGGAACUGAGAGGUCAAUCCCCCACACUGGCACUGAGAUACGGGCCAGACUCCUCCGGGAGGCAGCAGUAGGGAAUAUUGGGCAAUGGACGCAGGUCUGACCCAGCCAUGCCGCGUGCAGGAUGAAGGCGUUAUGCGUUGUAAACUGCUUUUAUACAGGAAGAAACGACUCUUGCGAGAGGCAUUGACGGUACCGUAUGAAUAAGCACCGGCUAACUCCGUGCCAGCAGCCGCCGAGUAAAAC